rnacentral:tRNA from 1 species
ACCGCGAUACCUCAGCUGGUGGAGCAUCUGCCCGGUAUGCGGAGGGUCGCCGGUUCGAUUCCGGCUCGCGGCG